GACGAACCGUGCGAACGUUGUUCGGAUUCACUGGGCUUAAAGGGCGCGUAGGCGGUCAGCACAAGUCAGUUGUGAAAUCUCCGGGCUUAACUCGGAAAGGUCAACUGAUACUGUGCGACUAGAGUGCGGAAGGGGCAACUGGAAUUCUUGGUGUAGCGGUGAAAUGCGUAGAUAUCAAGAGGAACACCUGCGGCGAAGGCGGGUUGCUGGGCCGACACUGACGCUGAGGCGCGAAAGCCAGGGGAGCGAACGGG
rnacentral:rRNA from 1 species